GCCGGGCUGCUGUAAAAGCGCAAGCCAAUGCGCUUUCCCUAGAGGGUUGGCAGCAAGCGGUAUCAUGCUGAAAGGCAGGGGUACCGCGGAAACAGCCGGGGAACCGGCAAA
rnacentral:sRNA from 1 species